rnacentral:rRNA from 1 species
AUUGAACGCUGGCGGCAGGCUUAACACAUGCAAGUCGAGCGGGGUGAUGGUGCUUGCACUAUCACUUAGCGGCGGACGGGUGAGUAAUGCUUAGGAAUCUGCCUAUUAGUGGGGGACAACAUCUCGAAAGGGAUGCUAAUACCGCAUACGUCCUACGGGAGAAAGCAGGGGAUCACUUGUGACCUUGCGCUAAUAGAUGAGCCUAAGUCGGAUUAGCUGGUUGGUGGGGUAAAGGCCUACCAAGGCGACGGUCUGUAGCGGGUCUGAGAGGAUGAUCCGCCACACUGGGACUGAGACACGGCCCAGACUCCUACGGGAGGCAGCAGUGGGGAAUAUUGGACAAUGGGGGGAACCCUGAUCCAGCCAUGCCGCGUGUGUGAAGAAGGCCUUAUGGUUGUAAAGCACUUUAAGCGAGGAGGAGGCUCUUUUGGUUAAUACCCAAGAUGAGUGGACGUUACUCGCAGAAUAAGCACCGGCUAACUCUGUGCCAGCAGCCGCCGUAA